rnacentral:rRNA from 1 species
GAUGAACGCUGGCGGCGUGCCUAAUACAUGCAAGUCGAACGCAUUGUGGUUGAAAUGAUAUGAAGAACUUGUUCAGAUUUGAUUUUCAACAUUGCAAUGAGUGGCGAACGGGUGAGUAACACGUGGGAAACCUACCUCUUAGCAGGGGAUAACAUUUGGAAACAAAUGCUAAUACCGUAUAAUAAUUAAAACCGCAUGGUUUUAGUUUAAAAGAUGGUCUUGCUAUCACUAAGAGAUGGUCCCGCGGUGUAUUAGUUAGUUGGUGAGGUAAUGGCUCACCAAGACAAUGAUACAUAGCCGAGUUGAGAGACUGACCGGCCACAAUGGGACUGAGACACGGCCCAUACUCCUACGGGAGGCAGCAGUAGGGAAUCUUCCACAAUGGACGAAAGUCUGAUGGAGCAACGCCGCGUGUGUGAUGAAAGGGUUUCGGCUCGUAAAACACUGUUGUAAGAGAAGAAUGACAUUGAGAGUAACUGUUC